rnacentral:rRNA from 1 species
UACGUAGGGUGCAAGCGUUAAUCGGAAUUACUGGGCGUAAAGCGUGCGCAGGCGGUUUUGUAAGUCUGUCGUGAAAUCCCCGGGCUCAACCUGGGAAUUGCGAUGGAGACUGCAAGGCUAGAGUUUGGCAGAGGGGGGUAGAAUUCCACGUGUAGCAGUGAAAUGCGUAGAGAUGUGGAGGAACACCGAUGGCGAAGGCAGCCCCCUGGGUCAAAACUGACGCUCAUGCACGCAAGCGUGGGGAGCAAACAGG